rnacentral:rRNA from 1 species
GCUUAACACAUGCAAGUCGAGGGGCAGCAUGGUCUUAGCUUGCUAAGGCCGAUGGCGACCGGCGCACGGGUGAGUAACACGUAUCCAACCUGCCGUCUACUCUUGGACAGCCUUCUGAAAGGAAGAUUAAUACAAGAUGGCAUCAUGAGUCCGCAUGUUCACAUGAUUAAAGGUAUUCCGGUAGACGAUGGGGAUGCGUUCCAUUAGAUAGUAGGCGGGGUAACGGCCCACCUAGUCUUCGAUGGAUAGGGGUUCUGAGAGGAAGGUCCCCCACAUUGGAACUGAGACACGGUCCAAACUCCUACGGGAGGCAGCAGUGAGGAAUAUUGGUCAAUGGGCGAGAGCCUGAACCAGCCAAGUAGCGUGAAGGAUGACUGCCCUAUGGGUUGUAAACUUCUUUUAUAAAGGAAUAAAGUCGGGUAUGGAUACCCGUUUGCAUGUACUUUAUGAAUAAGGAUCGGCUAACUCCGUGCCAGCAGCCGCGGUAAUACGGAGGAUCCGAGCGUUAUCCGGAUUUAUUGGGUUUAAAGGGAGCGUAGAUGGAUGUUUAAGUCAGUUGUGAAAGUUUGCGGCUCAACCGUAAAAUUGCAGUUGAUACUGGAUAUCUUGAGUGCAGUUGAGGCAGGCGGAAUUCGUGGUGUAGCGGUGAAAUGCUUAGAUAUCACGAAGAACUCCGAUUGCGAAGGCAGCCUGCUAAGCUGCAACUGACAUUGAGGCUCGAAAGUGUGGGUAUCAAACAGGAUUAGAUACCCUGGUAGUCCACACGGUAAACGAUGAAUACUCGCUGUUUGCGAUAUACAGCAAGCGGCCAAGCGAAAGCGUUAAGUAUUCCACCUGGGGAGUACGCCGGCAACGGUGAAACUCAAAGGAAUUGACGGGGGCCCGCACAAGCGGAGGAACAUGUGGUUUAAUUCGAUGAUACGCGAGGAACCUUACCCGGGCUUAAAUUGCAGAUGAAUUACGGUGAAAGCCGUAAGCCGCAAGGCAUCUGUGAAGGUGCUGCAUGGUUGUCGUCAGCUCGUGCCGUGAGGUGUCGGCUUAAGUGCCAUAACGAGCGCAACCCUUGUUGUCAGUUACUAACAGGUUCCGCUGAGGACUCUGACAAGACUGCCAUCGUAAGAUGUGAGGAAGGUGGGGAUGACGUCAAAUCAGCACGGCCCUUACGUCCGGGGCUACACACGUGUUACAAUGGGGGGUACAGAGGGCCGCUACCACGCGAGUGGAUGCCAAUCCCCAAAACCUCUCUCAGUUCGGACUGGAGUCUGCAACCCGACUCCACGAAGCUGGAUUCGCUAGUAAUCGCGCAUCAGCCACGGCGCGGUGAAUACGUUCCCGGGCCUUGUACACACCGCCCGUCAAGCCAUGGGAGCCGGGGGUACCUGAAGUGCGUAACCGCGAGGAGCGCCCUAGGGUAAAACUGGUGACUGGGGCUAAGUCAUA